rnacentral:rRNA from 1 species
UACGUAGGGUGCAAGCGUUAAUCGGAAUUACUGGGCGUAAAGCGUGCGCAGGCGGUUUUGUAAGUCUGUCGUGAAAGCCCCGGGCUCAACCUGGGAAUUGCGAUGGAGACUGCAAGGCUUGAAUCUGGCAGAGGGGGGGUAGAAUUCCACGUGUAGCAGUGAAAUGCGUAGAGAUCGGGAGGAACACCUGUGGCGAAGGCGGCCCCCCUGGGCCGGCCCGCUGACACUGGAGACGCGAAGGCGUGGGGAGCGAACGGG